UACGGAGGGUGCAAGCGUUAUCCGGAUUCACUGGGUUUAAAGGGAGCGUAGGUGGCUUUGUAAGUCAGUGGUGAAAUAUUGCGGCUCAACCGCAAAACUGCCAUUGAUACUGCUUAGCUUGAAUCACGUCGAGGUGGAUGGAAUAAUACAUGUAGCGGUGAAAUGCGUAGAUAUCGAGAGGAACACCUGCGGCGAAGGCGGGUUGCUGGGCCGACACUGACGCUGAUGCGCGAAAGCCAGGGGAGCGAACGGG
rnacentral:rRNA from 1 species